rnacentral:rRNA from 1 species
AGUGAACGCUGGCGGCAGGCCUAACACAUGCAAGUCGAACGGCAGCACAGUAAGAGCUUGCUCUUACGGGUGGCGAGUGGCGGACGGGUGAGGAAUACAUCGGAAUCUACUUUUUCGUGGGGGAUAACGUAGGGAAACUUACGCUAAUACCGCAUACGACCUACGGGUGAAAGCAGGGGAUCUUCGGACCUUGCGCGAUUGAAUGAGCCGAUGUCGGAUUAGCUAGUUGGCGGGGUAAAGGCCCACCAAGGCGACGAUCCGUAGCUGGUCUGAGAGGAUGAUCAGCCACACUGGAACUGAGGCACGGUCCAGACUCCUACGGGAGGCAGCAGUGGGGAAUAUUGGACAAUGGGCGCAAGCCUGAUCCAGCCAUACCGCGUGGGUGAAGAAGGCCUUCGGGUUGUAAAGCCCUUUUGUUGGGAAAGAAAAGCAGCAGGUUAAUACCCCGCUGUUCUGACGGUACCCAAAGAAUAAGCACCGGCUAACUUCGUG